GACGAACGCUGGCGGCGUGCUUAACACAUGCAAGUCGAACGAUGAAGCUAGAGCUUGCUCUGGUGAAUUAGUGGCGAACGGGUGAGUAACACGUGAGUAACCUGCCCCGAACUCUGGGAUAACUGCUGGAAACGGUAGCUAAUACUGGAUACGACCUACGAAGGCAUCUUCUGUAGGUGGAAAGAAUUUCGGUUCGGGAUGGACCCGCGGCCUAUCAGCUAGUUGGUGAGGUAAAGGCUCACCAAGGCGACGACGGGUAGCCGGCCUGAGAGGGUGGCCGGCCACACUGGGACUGAGACACGGCCCAGACUCCUACGGGAGGCAGCAGUGGGGAAUAUUGCACAAUGGGCGCAAGCCUGAUGCAGCAACGCCGCGUGAGGGAUGACGGCCUUCGGGUUGUAAACCUCUUUUAGCAGGGAAGAAGCGAAAGUGACGGUACCUGCAGAAAAAGCACCGGCUAACUACGUGCCAGCCGCCGCCGUAA
rnacentral:rRNA from 1 species